ACCAAACACUUCAAAUCACUCUAAUAUCCUCCAUAAACAUAUUCUAUACACUUUUAAUCAAGAGAAUCCUUGAAGAAGAAGCUCCAAAGUAGAGUGAGAAAGUGAGAAUUUUUGGUGAGAACUUGGGCCCGAGCGAGACGAAGAAGUAAGUUGCCUGAUUUCUUUCCAGAAUAAGCGAAGGACUUCAGGCUAAGCUGGGAGUGAGAUUGGACUGGUGCUGAUGGGGGAGAGUUUCAAAUGAUGUAAAUUAAAUUACUAUUUUGCCUCUAUGAUAAUAGAGUCUUGAUGUUUGAAUUACUUAGUUUCUUUUGGGAUCAAGCAAUACACUCACGAUUAUGUGUCUUCAUACAUAUAAUCGGUUCGCCUUUUGCUGCGAUACUCUGCAAAUUAUGCUUCCUUAUGAAAAAUGAA